rnacentral:tRNA from 1 species
CGCGGGGUGGAGCAGCCUGGUAGCUCGUCGGGAACGUCGUCGGUUCAAAUCCGGCCCCCGCAACCA